rnacentral:rRNA from 1 species
GACGAACGCUGGCGGCAUGCCUAAUACAUGCAAGUCGAGCGAACAGAUGAAGUGCUUGCACUUCUGACGUUAGCGGCGAACGGGUGAGUAACACGUAAGGAAUCUACCUAUAAGCGGGGGAUAACAUUCGGAAACGGGUGCUAAUACCGCAUAAUAUCUUCUUCCGCAUGGAAGAAGAUUGAAAGACGGCUCUGCUGUCACUUAUAGAUGACCUUGCGGUGCAUUUGUUAGUUGGUGGGGUAACGGCCUACCAAGACGAUGAUGCAUAGCCGACCUGAGAGGGGGAUCGGCCACAUUGGGACUGAGACACGGCCCAGACUCCUACGGGAGGCAGCAGUAGGGAAUCUUCCGCAAUGGGCGAAAGCCUGACGGAGCAAUGCCGCGUGAGUGAGGAAGGCCUUCGGGUCGUAAAACUCUGUUAUAAGAGAAGAACAAAUUGUAGAGUAACUGCUACAGUCUUGACGGUAUCUUAUCAGAAAGCCACGGCUAACUACGUGCCAGCAGCCGCCGUAA